AGGAAUCGAGUUCGCAAGGAAGGUGUUCGAUGGAAUGACGAAGCCGGACACUGUUCUGAAGAAUGCCUUUUCAAGACACAGAGAAUCAGCGAGCUUUAUCUGGCGGCGAGAGCAAGUUCAAGUUCGAGAGCACAAGAUGUCAAUUCUCAGACGAAAGCCGGAGGCUCGGAUACUGUGUAGUGUUGGGAGAGGUUGCGGAAGAGUUGUGCUGCAGCGACGCGGUUACAGAGUUAUGCUACUGCGGUGAAAGAGAUGACUGUGAGAGAGGCUCUGAAUACAGCGUUUGAUAAGGAAAUGCCUGCAGAUCCUAGAGUCAAUCUAAUGGGUGGUGAGGAGGUCGAAGGAUACCAAGGAGCCUUUCAAGGUGUCUUAAAGGUUCUUUUGCAGGAGUAUGGACCUGAGAGGGUUGUUGAUGCUCCUAUCACAGAGGCUGGUUUCACUGGAGUUGAAGUCGAGCCUACAAGGUGUCUUUAGUUUCAAGAGGAGCUGCAGCAGGAGUUGGUGCCCGACACUCCCAAGCCCUGCGAGGACGUCGCCAUCCCAUCUGGAGGAAGCUUUACCGGAUCCGGUCUCGUUAAAUCACUCAUCACCCUCAGGAUCUAUCGGACGCGAGAAUCGUCCACCGUGUACGAAAUGAGAGUUGCUCAUGAACUGUGUAACAUCUCUGGGAGUGGAUAGUUGGCAUGGUCGCAAAUUUUAUUGGUGUUUACUCGAGUCUCCUUUUCAGUUGCUGUCAUUACGGUAUCAACAUAGGCACAGAAAGAUGAGGUAUACAUAAUAACGUAGGCGCAGGAUGGGACCAUUGUUAUUACUCUGAUUAACUCAGCUUGUAAUGUUUGGUGUUAGCCUCAGAAAGCUUCACGUCUCCUUCGUCCUUUUCUUGCCUUCUUUUGUUCGAAAGGGUAAGCAAUCAUUCGCAAAUUCUGGACAUGCUCGUCUUGAUAUGAAGUAGUAAUUGCUUUUGCUAUUCAAUGACACUCUUCACCCUCAUAAACUUUGAUUGUUGACCUAUUGUUGAGUAGCUUAACCGCUAUUCUCUAAAUUGUUGUUCCAUUUGGUAACGUGGGUAAUUGGUCGAUGAUUCGGUCUUGUUGAAUUCGAUCUGUUAAUCAUGUGCUCUGCUGUUCUAGCGGUUGAAUGAAUUUUUAUUUGGAUCUGCUUUGCUUCAUGGUUAUUGGUAUCAAUCUUAUAUGUUGUUUCCUUCUGUAAUAGUGCAGUGUAGGAAAAUGGUGAACUCCUGAAGCUCACUCCUGGGCAACAUCGUCGAUUAUGGGCCAUUUGCUGCAUUUGUUUCUCUUGUAUACAUGUAUUUAGUGACAGCAGAUUAGAGCAUGCAGACUCUCUGGAAAUACAAAUCAUGGAGAUCUGAGGAAGUAUCUUCGUGGAUAUUUCGACACUACAUGGGGGAAAAAGCACAGUUAUGUAAAGGUACCUGAGUCAUGAGUAGUCGAUAAGCCAUCAGAGGUAUUAUUUGUGAUUGAUGUCUAACAAGAAGCUGUGACUAAUGUCUUUCUCUCGCGAAUGCCCACCAAUCGGCAGAGAAGGACAGAUACUAUGUCCCUCUGGCCCGUCCAUGGCUCCUAAUGAGCUUCACUGCCCACAGAUCUGGCCGAAAACUGAAGAGAUGAUAUUUGUUUGUUUUCCUGAAUAUGUUGCUUGGCGAAU